AGGUGGCGGUGUGGAUUAACUGAAAGAGCUUCUGUGAGGCUCAGACGCAAGCAGGAACUCGAUGUGAAGGAUGUGUUCAGUUGUUCGUGCUGCCUUUCUCUGCUCGCAGUUCUCUCGGAAAGCUACAUCUUUAUUUUCACCUCAUUUGAGAAAAAUGGUGCAUUACCAAACAGAGCCGAGAGGACGAGCAAACUCGCCUGACUACAGGAUUUACUUCAGAUCUUCAGAUGGCACGUGCAUCUCUCCUUUCCAUGACAUUCCUCUGUAUGCUGCUGACCAACAGGAAGGAGAUGUUCCACUAAAGAAAAUCAAAACGAAUGAGAUUCUGUUUAAUAUGGUCGUAGAAGUGCCUCGUUGGUCAAAUGCCAAGAUGGAGAUAGCAACGAAGGAGCCAUUAAACCCAAUCAAGCAAGAUGUGAAGAAAGGCAAGCUGCGAUAUGUUGCUAACAUUUUUCCACACAAGGGUUACAUCUGGAACUACGGUGCACUUCCUCAGACAUGGGAAGAUCCCAGCCACACUGACGAGGAAACCAAGUGCUGUGGAGAUAACGACCCCAUAGACGUGUGUGAGAUCGGCUCCAAGGUGUGUGCAACAGGGCAGGUGAUUCAGGUUAAAGUGCUAGGAAUUCUGGCUUUGAUAGAUGAAGGAGAGACGGACUGGAAGGUAAUAGCCAUCAACAUAGAGGACCCUGAUGCUUCCAGCCUCAACAGUAUUGAGGAUGUGAGAAAGAUUAAGCCUGGUCAUCUCGAGGCUACCGUGGAUUGGUUUAAAAGAUAUAAAGUGCCGGAUGGGAAGCCUGAGAACCGGUUCGCCUUCAAUGGACAGUUUAAGGAUAAGGACUUUGCUAUAGAAGUCAUAAAAGCAACACACAUCUUCUGGAAAGCAUUAGUGAUGAGAAAAAAGAUGAAAGGUGAAGAAAUUAUUUGUCAGAACUCGUCUUUGUGUGACAGUCCGUUCAGAUGCAGCGAUGCAGAGGCCCGUGCUGUACUUCAAGCUUGCGACGGCAGACGCUGAAAACAUCACGAGCGUCACGCGCGCUUCAGUAGACAAAUGCUCUUUUGCUGUUGUAGGCUGCAGAAUACGGGGAACCCCUCCCAGUAUCUUCUGAAGUGGACAAAUGGCACUUCGUCACAAAGUAAAAGAGCGUUUACUCUUUGCAGUGUGAUCUGAAAAGAAGGUGUAUUUUUAAAACAUUGCUUUGUUUAUUAGCACACACACACACACACACACACACACUCGUCAUUCAUUUCUUAUAUAUGGGCUGAAAUGAGCAAUUAACAUUGGUGCAUAUUUUUUUCUGUACUUAAUUACUGUUAUGAACAUAUUCCAAAAUACAUGUGUUUCAGUGCCAAAGCUCGUUACCUUUCAUACUUUGAAGGUUGAAUAGUUAACCUCUACAACUUAAGGUUUUACUUUUUGAUUUCAUCAUCUUUUACAGUGCCUUUUAGAUGCAUGUGUUUUUUAUUUCUAUUUAUAUACCUAGAUUGACAAGCCACUUAGGAACAAAUGUGUAUUAUCAAGGGCAGCCUUUAAUUUUUGUAAGCAUUAAUUUUUUUUUAAGAAAACCCUUUAGGCACAGUUGUUGAAAUCACAAUUACCUAAAUUAGGAAACGCUGUAGUCUUUCUUCUGAGAUGUGUAGAAUCAGAAUCAAGACUAGUAGAUAAUAAACUUGAUUAAUCUUU